GUGAGGGAUAUUGGGCAAUGGGCGCAAGCCUGACCCAGCGACGCCGCGUGGGCGAAGAAGGCCUUCGGGUCGUAAAGCCCUUUUCCACCUGACGAGGAAGGACGGUAGGGUGGGAAUAAGUCACGGCUAACUACGUGCCAGCAGCCGCGGUAAAACGUAGGUGGCGAGCGUUAUCCGGAAUCACUGGGCGUAAAGGGCAUCUAGGCGGCCGGGUAAGUCGCGUGUGAAAGCCCCUGGCUCAACUGGGGGAGGACAUGCGAGACUGCCGGGCUUGAGGGUCAGAGAGGGACGCGGAAUUCCCGGUGUAGUGGUGAAAUGCGUAGAGAUCGGGAGGAACACCCGUGGCGAAGGCGGCGUCCUGGCUGACCCCUGACGCUGAAGUGCGAAAGCGUGGGGAGCGAACGGGAUUAGAUACCCCUGUAGUCC
rnacentral:rRNA from 1 species